rnacentral:rRNA from 2 species
GUAACGUAUUGAGCUAACCAGUACUAAUUGCUCGUGAGGCUUAACUAUAUAACGCCCAAG